rnacentral:rRNA from 1 species
UAAUACGUAGGUGGCAAGCGUUGUCCGGAUUUAUUGGGCGUAAAGCGAGCGCAGGCGGUCUUUUAAGUCUGAUGUGAAAGCCCCCGGCUUAACCGGGGAGGGUCAUUGGAAACUGGGAGACUUGAGUGCAGAAGAGGAAAGCGGAAUUCCAUGUGUAGCGGUGAAAUGCGUAGAUAUAUGGAGGAACACCAGUGGCGAAGGCGGCUUUCUGGUCUGUAACUGACGCUGAGGCUCGAAAGCGUGGGGAGCAAACAGG